rnacentral:rRNA from 4 species
CUCUCGGCAACGGAUAUCUAGGCUCUCGCAUCGAUGAAGAACGUAGCGAAAUGCGAUACUUGGUGUGAAUUGCAGAAUCCCGCGAAUCAUCGAGUUUUUGAACGCAAGUUGCGCCCGAAGCCACUUGUGGCCGAGGGCACGUCUGCCUGGGCGUCACGCACCGUUGCC